rnacentral:snRNA from 1 species
UAAAAUAGGAACGAUACAGAGAUUAGCAUGGCCCCUGUGCGAGGAUGACAUGCAAAUUUGUGAAGAGUUCCAUAUUUUU